ensembl:snRNA U6 U6 spliceosomal RNA
ACGCUCGCUUUGGCAGCACAUAGACUAACAUUGGAAUGAUACAGAGAAGACUAGCACGGCCCUUGGGAAAAGAUGACACACAAAUUUGUGAAGCAUUCCAUACUAAA